AUAAUUAAUAAAAUUGUAUUAAUUUAUUAAAAAUUUUUCUGUUAAAAUAAGAAAAUUAGAAUCUUUGUAUAAAAAUAGAUAAGAUGAACUAUACUAUAGUAUAUAAGUAUUGUAAAAGAAAUAUUAGAUUUAUAAUUAAGAAAAGAUGAUUUAUUUAAUUGUAUCUUGUGUUUCAGAGUAUAUUAAAAUUAAUUAUAAAUGUUCUUUAUCUCGAAUUUAAAGGAUUUAAUUAAAUGAUUUAAUUAUUAUGUCAAAAAUAUUAAAAACAUUUAAUUGGUAAUGAGAUGUUAUUCGUUUUUAAAGAUAUCUAGUUUUUUAAAAAAUGAAUAUAAUUCAUAAGGCAUUAAAUUACUUUUUAUUUAUUAUAAAGUAUUUAUUGUUUUAACUUUUUUUGGGGAAAAGCUUGGAAAAAUAUAAUUAUAAUAGUAUUAUUUAUUAGGGUUUAAUAAAUUUAGAAUUUGUUUUUAAUUAAAAUAUGUUAAAAUUUAUCUCUAAUUAAUAAAAAUUUAAAAAUUAUUUAAGAUUUUUAUUAAAAUAUUAAGAAAAACUUAAAAUUUUUGGUAUUUAUGAUUUAAUUAGUAAAUGAUAUAAAUAUUGUAUAAUAAUUAAUAAUAAUUUAUUGUGAAGAAUUAGGCAAAUUGUUUACUCGCCUGUUUAAUAAAAACAUGGUUUCUUGUAAUGUAUAGGAAAUUUAACCUGCCCACUGAAUAUAUUUAAAGGGCCGCAGUAAUUUGACUGUGCAAAGGUAGCAUAAUCAUUAGUCUUUUAAUUGGAGGCUGGAAUGAAUGGUUGGACGAGGUAAAAGCUAUUUUAUAUUAAAAUAUUGAAUUUUGAUUUUAAGUAAAAAUACUUAAAUGCUAUUAAGGGACGAGAAGACCCUAUAGAAUUUAAUAAAUGUAAUUUUAAUUAAGUUUUGAAUAAAUUUUUGAUUAUUAUAAAAUUUAUUUAAUUGGGGUGAUAAAAAGAUAAUUAAACUCUUUUUUAGUUUAAAUUUAAAUAAAAAGAAAAAUGAUCCAUUUAUAUUGAUUAUAAGAUUAAAUUACCUUAGGGAUAACAGCAUAAUUUCUUUUAAGAGUUCUUAUCAAAAAAGAAGAUUAUGACCUCGAUGUUGGAUUAAGAUAAAUUUUGGGUGUAGAUGUUCAUACAAUUAGGUCUGUUCGACCUUUAAAAUCUUACAUGAUCUGAGUUUAAACCGGUGUGAACCAGGUUGGUUUCUAUCUUUAAAAAAAUGAUAUAUUUUAGUACGAGAGGACCAAAUAUAUAAAAUAAUUUUAUCUUAUUGAUUUUCAAUAAGUUGGU
rnacentral:rRNA from 1 species